ACACUGGCCUCCUCGAGCGCGCCGCCCGCGCCCAGCGCCCCACGCCCCGCGCCCCGGGCCGUGCAGCCAGCCCUUACCUUGCAGCGCCCGGCUGUCUCCCGAUCGCUAAAGCUACUUAUCCCGGGAAAGCUCGCGCGGGACCCGGGAACGAACCCACAGACAAAAAGUGAAACUUCGGCAGGGCUGGAGCGGCUGCUGGUUGGUGCCUUUCCCCCUCCUUCCUCCCCACCGUCCCCACCCCCUCCCCUUGGUCUCCCGUGCGGUGCCCUGAGCGCUGGAGGCUGACGUCAGGGGCCUGAAUUCCUGACUUUGCCUGCACGCAUUUGUCCAUGUAAGGUAUGGGAAGGCGUGUGCCCGCGAAGCCGCCGCGCAGAGCUCGCCUGGCGGGGGAGGGGAAACCCGCAGCCGGCAGUGGCUUUGCCAAAAGGUGGGCGCACUGAGGGCAUUGCAUUUCCUGGGAGGAAGAGGAGGAGACGCGGGAAUGCAGGGAGCUUGCAAAGGAGGAAGAGAAAGAGGGAGAUGUGGAGACUUUGCCCCUGCUAGAGGAAGAGGAAGGAGACGUAGGAGGAAGCGGCCGCGUCAGGGGGCUCCUGGAAAAUGGAAAAGCCUGCGUCUACUAUUAAGGCGUCAAAUUAGGGCACUGAGCUUGAGUGGAAGAGAUCCAGCCAUGAAAUCCCCUUCCAAGAUUUUCCUCGUGAGCCCCGCCCUGGAUUCCCAGCAAGACUCAAAACUUACAAGGUGUCAGAGCUGGCAAAGACCAACUUCCAACCCGUCCGCUUGGCACGUGAGGAAACUGAAGCUCUCGGAAGAGAAAUGACUUGUACAGGGUCGUCACUCAGCAGAUCGAGGAGCGGGCCCAGGCGCUCUGCCUCCCACUUGGGUUCCCGCCUCCAGGAAGGGCCCUGGCUCCCUUUUAGCCCUGAGCCUUGAAGCAGGUUAGAUGCCCGCGAGCUGUGCGGACCACCCAGUGAUUUCUACUGCUCUUGGCCCAGAGCCAGUUCCUGGAAGGUCCUGGUUGACAGCGAGCCCUGAAUAUCAAUGACAAUCAGUUGCUUCAGGGCAACUUCCUCUGUCCUGUGCUCAAAUAAAUGAAUCCCUGGAGUUUAACGUUUACUUCUGAGCCCCGCCCAGAAAGCUUGCUCUGUGCUUAUAGCUUCAAAAAAGUCUGCGAACGAGAUGAACUGGUUUGAAUACAGACAAGCCUGUCAUUGGAAGUUUUGAGUUGGAUUUUUCUUUCCCCUCUGACAUCUGUAAGGGUGAACGACGAUGAGAACCACCACUUAACUGUGUUAGGGGAUUAUGACGCGCAGCAGCCAUGGCCAGGAAAGCAUUCCAUACCCUGAGACUUCCUUUCCUUGCACUUCUCUCCUAUUAAUAUCUAAAGUAAUCCCUCACGUUAGCACAUAAUGAAAGCAGUCUCUCACCCGGCUAUUGCAUCUUCAGGUGAGUUAGAUAGGACAGAGCGUAGUCCCCCCUUUACACCUCAGACAAAAACUUAAGAAACGUUACUCGCCCAACACAAAACAACUGACUGACCAAGCACCUGUCUUCCCCUCCUCCCAUCCAGGUCUCCUGACUAAUCCCUUCAUCUUUCCAUACCUGGCCCUGACCUCUAGCAGGACCUAAUUCCAUUCAUAACUGUUGAGAGUACACCAUGAGCUACUGAUUCAUAAAAACUCCAAAAAGUGG
rnacentral:lncRNA from 1 species